UGAAUGCAAAUUCUCCUGCAUAAUAAUUUUCUGGUAAAGAAUCAGAUUAAAUUGAUUUGGUAAUAAAAAAUUUAAAUAUACUGUAUUGGCCCAAAUAUAAAUUGACUCCCAAUUUUGGAAUACUUACUUUUUGAAAAAAAUGUGACAAUGUAUUUAUUUGCAUACAAAAGAAUUGACUUUUCAAGUUUUUAAAUGCAAAUUGCCAUUGAAACUCAAUCACUGCAUCACUCAUUGUCACCAUUCUUGUGUCCUAUUUCAUAAUUUGAUUCCCAGAUAUUUGUAAAUACAGUCAAGAAAACAGUAUAAAUGAAUUUUUCAUUAGUAUUUUUUAUAGAUUGCAUUUAAAUCUUACCUAACUGAUCAGACUUCAUAUUUUAUACAAAGGAAUGUAAUAUAGAUGUCCAAUGUAUGUAACGAUGACUUUUAUUGUUUUUUUUUUUUUUUUUAACUGAAAUUAGUUUCAAUUUUGUUCUAUAACUUAUUAUAUUUUAUGCAUAUGGUUGUACACUCAGCAUAUGUAUUCGAGAAGUAAGCUUUCUUGCAUAUUUUACUCGUAUUCUGGAAAGUGUGCUGCUGGUUUUAUGACUGUCAAAAAUGAUAUAAAGUUUAUGUAUUUCAUUUUUGCUUAUCUUAUUUUUUCUAGGACUAUCUAAAACAUGUAAAUUAUAAAUUUACACUUUACAACAAAUUUUUAGUACCUUCCCCGAUUUUUGAUGUUCGCUUGAUUAGUGAAGACUCCUAGGAGUAAGAGAAAAGUUACCAAAACUAACUGUUUUUAUAUCAUAAUUUAACAGAAUCAAUCAACUAAUCAAUUAGUAUGAUUGUAAAUAAACACUUAAUUCUUGUGCAUAGUUUAUGGACUGCAGUAGGACAGGUCACAAGUUGGCUGACUUUUGGCAUCACUAAACAAUCGACACCAAAUUUUAGCAUUAGUUUAACUCUAUAAAUAUAUUAACCUGUUAUCUGUGAUACAAAGAUUUUUGUUCUUAUUUCAGUCACUUUCUGAAAUUUCUCAUCUGCUUGCAUAUAAUGUAGAAAUCUAAGAUUAAUUUAUAUAAGUGUAAAGGAUGAAACUAGAUGAUAACUUUAAUUUGUCCCAGAACAGCAUUUAAUGUGUACUAUAUAGCAGUAAUAUAAAAGAUUUUGUAAACAGAAUAAUCUUAACUAAAAAGGUAUGUGAAAGAAUUCGUUCAUGGUGAUUUUGGAAGAACUGUUCCAAAUUUAGGACUGUUAUUAGAAGCCGAAGUAGACAUAAUCGAAUUAGAUGUAGAGAAAAUUGAUUUAGACUGGCCUCCUGUCCUAUGAAAUAAACUUUUCAAGGAUUUCAUCAAAACAUUUAUUGAAAUAUUUUAUAUUAAAUCAUACAUAAAACUUUGACAUUGGAAUGAAUUGAAAAUCACAGUGUCAUUUUAUCAGGUUGUAUAUAUGCAAUAAAAAUAGCUAUAAAAUUUUUUUACAAUUUCA